rnacentral:lncRNA from 1 species
GGAGGGGGCGGGGCGGCCAAGUGCAGCUGAGCCGGUGCUGUGAGGUUUAUGAUCCCAGCGUGGCCGUCUUCUGAGUCCUAGUUGAUUUUAUAGUGAUGUUUCCUUCAGGAUCUGCCAUUCCUGCCCCCGGAUGUUUCAGCGCUGCCCCAAUUUGCAAGUAUUUGCUUACACAUUUAAGAGAUCCUUCCCAGCGUUCCCCUCCUGGUGCAGUGGAAAUGAAUCUGACUAGCAUCCAUGAGGAUGCGGGUUCAACCCCUGGCCUCGCUCAGUGGGUUAAGGAUCCGGCUUUGCCAUGAGCUGGGUGUAAGUCGCAGACAUGGCUAGGAUCCUGCAUUGAGGUGGCUGUGGUGUAGGCCAGCAGCUACAGCUCGAUUUGACCCUAGCCUGGGAACCUCCAUGUGCCAUGGGUGCAGCCCUAAAAAAAAAAGAAAGAAAGACAUCUUUCCCUUUUAUGCUGUAUGUUUUCAAUAUUUACCUUACCAAAUUCUACACUGAGAUGGUACUUGCCGGCUUUAGAAGUUUCUAUGAAUUUUAGAGUUCCUGCUGUGUUGCAACAGGACCAGCAGCGUCUCUGAAGCAUUGGCACAGCAUGUUUAAGCUCCUGCUGGCUGCGACCAAGGUCCCACAACUGUGGCUCGGAUCUGAUUCCUGGCCCGGGAACUCCGUAUGCCUCAGGGCAGAAAAAAAAAAAAGUAAGAAAGAAAGAAGAAGAAGAAAAAAGCAAUUUCGAGGAAUUUAGAAAAAGGAAAAAGCAUGUAUGGUUCAAAACCGAAGCGCUCUGCGCCGGGCCACCCUGCGGCCCCUCCUCCUCUUAGGGAACGGCGACACUCCCAUCACUUUGCAGGUCCCUCUCUUGUGCAGGAAGCACAAGAAUUAUUUUUAAUUCAGUCUGUCAUGCUCCCUGCCCCCAGCAAGAGCGCGCGUUCCCGCAGGACCCCAUCAAUCUUGGUUUAAUUCUCGUGCCUGGACCCUGCCCGGCACCCAGCAGACAUUCCACGGGAUGGGUGGGGCCCAGUUCAAGGUCGCCAGGGCCCAGUUCCCCGGCACCCCCUCAAGGCUCAUGACACAGACACGAGAGAGUUCUUUACGUUCUCUGGCCACAUUUUCUAAAUCGGUUUUGCAAAGUUAAAUAGCUGAACAGGAGUGAAAUCCGUGUUUUCUCGUGGGUCCAGGUAAGUUGGUGGCGGCAACUCUUUGUAAGGG